AUGGUGGCCGUAGACCUACAUCAUUGGAAACGCCUCACAGAGUAACUAUGUGGUUUCCUUUACUCACAGAACUACAUGUUAGAUCUGUGGAAAGAACUACAAGACAGCU
rnacentral:snoRNA from 1 species